UUCACUGUUAGAAUGUACAUAUGAUUAAAAUUGUAGAUUGUUGCAUUCUUUGUAAGUGGGCAAACCUGCAAAAUCAGCAAGGGGUCAAAUACUUUUUUCCCCUACUGUAUAUAGUACUAUACACACAUAGUACACAUAUACUAUGUGUAUAGUAGGUUGGUAACCUGCAACAUAAAUAUGAAAACAAAGAUAGCAACAGUUACUGCUAAUCUCUGUAGUCGAUCCAGCAGAAAGAUUUCACUGUGAUCACCUGCAGACGUUCAGUUCUCUCUCAGCGCUUGACUUCUUCACCUGAUAAUGGCUGACUCAAGUGGAGUGGAAGAAGGCAGCGACUUCAGUCCAGCAUCGACCGUAUGGCUGUCGCGGACAGAAAGUGACUUUCGGGUGACCUAGGAUGAGGAACACCACCAGCCUGUGCCGCCACCGCCUCCUCCUGAAUUAAUAUUUUGCAGACGAUGAGUAUGACCCCAUGGAAGGAGACUGAUGUUUUUUUAUUUAUAUAGUGCAGAUCUGCAUUUUUCAGUUUUGAAAUUUGUUUUUUGUUUUAACUGUUUUAAUAAAUAAAUUUGAAAAACAAA